AUUAUUUCAAUAUUUUGACAUUGUAAUUUUAUCAGCACUAAUUAUAGAUUAAAUUCAAAAGCAAAUAGUCUUAUCAGAAACAUUUUGUACACAGGUAAAACUUCAUUGUUUGUGAAAUAUAUAAAAUCAAAUGUAUGACACUUAUCUGAAUCAUAUAAGAACCUCACAAUGGUAAAAUAUAUAAUUUUCAUGAUCAAAUAAAUAUUAAAAAAAAUAACAAGAAUAUGUGUCCAUAGGACACCAUGCAUUGCCCUCAUUAUCACACUUCCAUGUCCAAUUAAUAGCAUAAUCUGUACCAACUCCCAAAUUGACAAUAAAAGUAGAUAGUUUUCAUCAUACUGAACAUGUGUACAAAGUUUCAAGUUGAUGUGACCACUUUAUGGUAAACUACCAUUGAUAAACAGUAAGCUACCUUGUACCAAAUUUAAACAAGAUAGGUGGGUGGAUGAACAUAGCUGAAGUCAUAUUUGAAAACCAUGUAUAUCACAAAUACAAUACAAGAAAUAUGACAUGUAAGAAAAGAUUGUACAUGUGUGACACAAUUUUAAGUUUUACCAGAGUAAUGUUAUAUUAUA
rnacentral:lncRNA from 1 species